CCUACGGGAGGCAGCAGUGGGGAAUAUUGGACAAUGGGGGGAACCCUGAUCCAGCCAUGCCGCGUGUGUGAAGAAGGCCCUCGGGUUGUAAAGCACUUUCAGUGAGGAAGAACGCCUGGUGGUUAAUACCCAUCAGGAAAGACAUCACUCACAGAAGAAGCACCGGCUAACUCCGUGCCAGCAGCCGCGGUAAUACGGAGGGUGCGAGCGUUAAUCGGAAUUACUGGGCGUAAAGCGCGCGUAGGUGGCUUGAUAAGCCGGUUGUGAAAGCCCCGGGCUCAACCUGGGAACGGCAUCCGGAACUGUCAAGCUAGAGUGCAGGAGAGGAAGGUAGAAUUCCCGGUGUAGCGGUGAAAUGCGUAGAGAUCGGGCGGAAUACCAGUGGCGAAGGCGGCCUUCUGGACUGACACUGACACUGAGGUGCGAAAGCGUGGGUAGCAAACAGGAUUAGAUACCCGAGUAGUC
rnacentral:rRNA from 1 species